rnacentral:lncRNA from 1 species
CAUCUGCCUCAUCAUGCUUGCCCGCGGAAACAGAGGUGGAGACCUCGCCUCUACUACCGCCACCGCCGCCACAGCCACUAAAGAAACAAACUCCGCCGCCUCACACCAGAUCAUCACUCAAUCCCCUUCUAUGGAGCCCUCCACGUCAGCAUCUCCGCCGGUUAAGCUGAGCUACAAGUGCUCUGUUUGCGACAAGGGCUUCUCUUCCUACCAGGCGCUCGGAGGACACAAGGCCAGCCACCGGAAAGGCUCUGCAGCUGGAUCGGCCAUCGACGGCCCGUCCACGUCAUCAACCACAACAACCUCUGCCGCGGCCACCGCCACCGCUUCCGGUAGGUCCCACGAAUGCUCCAUCUGCCACAAGUCUUUCCCCACCGGUCAAGCCUUGGGCGGCCACAAGCGCUGCCACUACGAUGGCGGCGCCGCCGGAUCCACAGCCACCACCACCGCUACCACGAGCGCUAUAACUUC